AAAGAAAGAAAGGGAAUGGGAAGACAUGAAUUUCAAUCCUAGGUCAGCUAUUUAGUAGCAAUUGUGACUUUGAGCAAUUAAAACUUGACAUAUCAAUGUCUUCGCCUGUUAAAUUUGGAUAAUACUGCUUUAUGAAUAGUUCUAAGUUAAAUUAUGAAGUGAGCAUGCUCUUUCUUUUUCCUUUCAUCAUCUACAUCCAUUCCCCUCACUUCUCUUCCCUGCUCUAUGCCCUAGGAGGAUGACCCUGCAAACUGCACUACCUAGGCUCUCUUCGCCCUUGACUUCCUGUUCAGUGCAGCCAACAAGAAAUAACAUCUCUCCACUGCCUCAAUGCCAAGAGUCUAAGGGAGGCUGUUCCUUUUGUGACUACAGCUCCCGAAGGGCAGUGGCCUUCCCUAGUGCUGGCUCUCAGCAAGCUCCAAGACUGCUGCCUCCCCUCACUUCUUUGGGCAGAAGGAAAUAAAGGCUUCUUGAUGUCACUAUCCCUAGAUGCCUCGGGAUCAUUUGUUGGUUUUCUCAACCCUGUUCAUACUCUUGUGUGUUGCAAAUACGUCUCUGUGUUAUUUGCCUUUUUUAUAUAUGCAAGUCCAGCAUCCCCAAUCAAAUGGGACUAAAAUCUAAUAUCCAAGAAAUGAAAUGCUAAUUAUAAAAUGGAACCUACUUUGGUCAAAUACUUUCAGCUUUACUAAACACCACUCCCUGAAAAAUGGAACCAAUGCUUCUGGAAAAACGGCUGAUUCCAGGAUAAGGAACGUACAAAGUGAACCUGGAACAUCUUGUGCCAGGAAACAGGAAGUUAUUUUAAAAACCUGUAGAGGUAUGCAGAAAGAACACAGAAGCCAACCUGAAGGGGUUCUCACUGGCUGAAUUUGGGACAUUCUGAUGAUUAAAAUGAAUAGUGAUAAGAAUGGAUUAUAUCAUAUUGAAUAAAAGUAAAUUUGAAUCCAUUUUUACAUUUAAAAAAUUUUAAGGUAGGUGUGAAGAGAAGAAGAAAAAUUCUGUUUGUUUGUUUUUUAACAGAAUGCCAACUAAUGGAUAUAGAUGGAAUGGAAAUAGAAACCCACUAUUUUAUGAUCACCACAGUAAUAAUUAAUUCAGGUAAUAAUUAACAAUGGAUGCUAAAAGCAUUGGGUAACAAACUUUGGGGGGAAUCCUAUAUUCACACAGUC